UGAAAUAUUACUUUUUUUAAAUCUUUCGUUUUUCCAGAUUUAAGAAAACCUUUUUUUCCCCCUUCUUUUCUCUUAAGAUAUCUAUGACUUACAGCAAUUUGGUGAAUUAUACCUUUGUAAGCAGAAUUGAAACAAUUACUUUUUCUCCCUACCUUAUCCCUUCAGAAUUCAGAAAUUCUCAAUCCCUGUGCUGAAGCUCGAAUCCAGUAUGGCUGGUGUCCUUAUAGGAAGAGAGAGAGACACCAAGGAUGUCUGUGCACAGAGGAAAGUGCCACGUGAGGACACAGUGGGGAGGCAGCCACCUGCUGGCCCUAGGGAAUGGCCUCGGCAGAAACUGCACCUGCUGACCCCACGCUCUUGAACGUCUUGCCUCCAGAAGAAAUAGAGGAAGAGAAAAAUCGAUUUCUGUUUAAGCCACUCAGUCUGUCGUACUUUGCCACAGCAGCCCUAGCCAACUGAUACAUAGACUUAUGAACUGUCUCAUAUGAGGUGGGCAGAGCUCUGAGACGACCCCAAUUCCUGCCCUCUGAGGCAGACACAGCUUCACCCUGUUAGUCUAACACAGAUCUAGGUGCUGCUUUGAAGGGACUUUGCAGCUGUAAUUAAGGUCCCAAAUCAGUCAACUUUAAGAAAGAGAGAGAAAUUAUCCUGGGUGAUCCUGAGCUAAUCAGGUGAGCCCUUAAAAGGAACUGCGCUCCUCCUCGGGAGGGAGAUUCAAAGCUUGAGAAGACUUCCCAUGAGGGAGCUUCUCCACUCCUGGCUUUGGAGGUGGAUGGAGCCAUGUUGCAAGGAAGGUGGCUGCCCUGGAGGAGCUGAGAGUGUCCCCCAUUUCACAGCCAGCAAGGAAAUGGAGACCUCAGUCCCGUAGCUGCGAGGAACUGAAUUUGGCCAACAGUGACAAAAAAAGGAGCCUAAGAAGGAGCUUGGCUUGGCCCAUACCUUCAUUUCAGCCUUGUGCGCCCCCAGAGAACCUAGUCAUGCUGGGCCCAGACUACUGCUGGUAGAACUGUGAGCGAUGUUGUUUUAAGCCACUAAACUUGUGGUAAUUUGUUAUUCCAAAAUAGAAAAUGAAGACAUCAAAUUAUGAAUAGAGAUAGGGACACAGAUUUGCAGUGACCUGCGGUGCAAAUGAUAAAGCAAAUGAAUAAAAUGUUAACAAUAAGCAAAUUUGGGUAAAGGGUAUAUGAUUGUUCCCUGUACUACUUUUAUUUUUGUAACUUUUUAAAGUUUG
rnacentral:lncRNA from 1 species